rnacentral:snRNA from 1 species
CCGUAGCUGCGUAAGCUAUGG